rnacentral:tRNA from 1 species
ACGACGGUGAUGAAACGGUCAUCAUGGUGGACUUUGCACUUAUUUGUCCCGGGUUCGAAUCCGGUGCCGUCGCU